rnacentral:rRNA from 1 species
ACUGACGGGUCGAGCAGGUACGAAAGUAGGAGUUAGUGAUCCGGCGGUUCCGCAUGGAAGGACCGUCGCUCAACG